rnacentral:rRNA from 1 species
GACGAACGCUGGCGGCGUGCUUAACACAUGCAAGUCGAACGGUGAACCUCUUCGGAGGGGAUCAGUGGCGAACGGGUGAGUAACACGUGGGCAACCUGCCCCCGGCUCUGGGAUAACUCCAAGAAAUUGGGGCUAAUACCGGAUGUUCACCGCUUCCCGCAUGGGUGGUGGUGGAAAGGGUUUCCGGCUGGGGAUGGGCCCGCGGCCUAUCAGCUUGUUGGUGGGGUAGUGGCCUACCAAGGCGACGACGGGUAGCCGGCCUGAGGGGGUGACCGGCCACCUGGGGCAGGAGACCGGCCCCGGACCCCACGGGGGGCAAGGGGGGGGAAAUUUGGGGAAGGGGGGGGAGGCCGGACGCGGCGGCGCGGGGGGGGGGAGGAGGGCUUGGGGGUUGUAAACCUCUUGCAGCGGGGAAGAAGCGCAGGUGACGUUACCUAAAAAAAAAGCCCCGGCCAACUCCGUG